CCUACGGGAGGCAGCAGUGAGGAAUAUUGGUCAAUGGACGCAAGUCUGAACCAGCCAAGUAGCGUGCAGGAUGACGGCCCUCCGGGUUGUAAACUGCUUUUAGUUGGGAAUAAAAGGGGGCUCGUGAGCCCCGUCUUGUAUGUACCAUCAGAAAAAGGACCGUCUAAUUCCGUGCCAGCAGCCGCGGUAAUACGGAAGGUCCGGGCGUUAUCCGGAUUUAUUGGGUUUAAAGGGUGCGCAGGCGGAAGAUCAAGUCAGCGGUAAAAUUGAGAGGCUCAACCUCUUCGAGCCGUUGAAACUGGUUGUCUUGAGUGAGCGAGAAGUAUGCGGAAUGCGUGGUGUAGCGGUGAAAUGCAUAGAUAUCACGCAGAACUCCGAUUGCGAAGGCAGCAUACCGGCGCGCAACUGACGCUCAUGCACGAAAGUGUGGGUAUCGAACAGGAUUAGAUACCCUGGUAGUC
rnacentral:rRNA from 1 species